UGUGAAUUGCAGAAUUCCGCGAAUCAUCGAGUCUUUGAACGCAAGUUGCGCCCGAGGCUUGUCCAAGGGCAUUUCCGCUAGAGCGUCACC
rnacentral:rRNA from 12 species